GACGUAGGGGGCAAGCGUUAUUCGGAAUCAUUGGGCGUAAAGCGCUCGUAGGCGGAUCGGACAGUCGGUGAAGAAAAGACCCGGGCUCAACUCCGGGGAACGGCACCGAUACUAUCGAUCUUGAGGCAAUCAGAGGGUGAUGGAAUUCCCGUGUAGCGGUGAAAUGCGUAGAUAUCGGGAGGAACACCAGUGGCGAAGGCGAAUCACCUGGGGUUGUUCGU
rnacentral:rRNA from 1 species